rnacentral:rRNA from 1 species
UAGAGUUUGAUCAUGGCUCAGGACGAACGCUGGCGGCGUGCCUAACACAUGCAAGUCGAGCGGAGAUAGUUUGAUGGUAACUGAUGACUAUCUUAGCGGCGGACGGGUGAGUAACACGUGGGCAACCUGCCUCGAAGUGGGGGAUAACACCGAGAAAUCGGUGCUAAUACCGCAUAACGUACGGAUUUCGCAUGGAAACCGUACCAAAGGAGUAAUCCGCUUUGAGAUGGGCCCGCGGCUGAUUAGCUAGUUGGUGAGGUAAUGGCUCACCGAGGCGACGAUCAGUAGCCGACCUGAGAGGGUGACCGGCCACACUGGAACUGAGACACGGUCCAGACUCCUACGGGAGGCAGCAGUGGGGAAUAUUGCGCAAUGGGGGAAACCCUGACGCAGCAACGCCGCGUGGAGGAAGAAGGUCUUCGGAUUGUAAACUCCUGUCUUCUGGGACGAUAAUGACGGUACCAGAGGAGGAGGCCACGGCUAACUACGUGCCAGCAGCCGCGGUAAUACGUAGGUGGCGAGCGUUGUCCGGAAUUACUGGGCGUAAAGGGCGCGUAGGCGGCUCUUUAAGUCAGAUGUGAAAACCCAGGGCUUAACUUUGGGACUGCAUUUGAAACUGAAGGGCUUGAGUGCAGGAGAGGUAAGUGGAAUUCCUAGUGUAGCGGUGAAAUGCGUAGAUAUUAGGAGGAACACCAGUGGCGAAGGCGACUUACUGGACUGUAACUGACGC